rnacentral:rRNA from 1 species
UACGUAGGGUGCAAGCGUUAUCCGGAAUUAUUGGGCGUAAAGAGCUCGUAGGCGGUUUGUCGCGUCUGCUGUGAAAACUCGAGGCUCAACCUCGAGACGUCGGUUGAAACCGUAUGGCUAGAGUCCGGAAGAGGAGAGUGGAAUUCCCGGUGUAGCGGUGAAAUGCGCAGAUAUCGGGAAGAACACCCGUGGCGAAGGCGGCUCUCUGGGACGGUACUGGACGCUGAGACGCGAAAGCGUGGGGAGCGAACAGG